AAUGAACGCUGGCGGCAUGCCUUACACAUGCAAGUCGAACGGCAGCAUGACCUAGCUUGCUAGGUUGAUGGCGAGUGGCGAACGGGUGAGUAAUGCAUCGGAACGUGCCUUUUAGUGGGGGAUAACGUAGCGAAAGUUACGCUAAUACCGCAUAUUCUCUGAGGAGGAAAGCAGGGGACCUUCGGGCCUUGCGCUAGAAGAGCGGCCGAUGUCGGAUUAGCUAGUUGGUGAGGUAAAGGCUCACCAAGGCAACGAUCCGUAGCGGGUCUGAGAGGAUGAUCCGCCACACUGGGACUGAGACACGGCCCAGACUCCUACGGGAGGCAGCAGUGGGGAAUUUUGGACAAUGGGCGCAAGCCUGAUCCAGCCAUGCCGCGUGAGUGAAGAAGGCCUUCGGGUUGUAAAGCUCUUUCGGCUGGGAAGAAAUCGCACCCUCUAAUACAGGGUGGGGAUGACGGUACCAGCAGAAGAAGCACCGGCUAACUACGUG
rnacentral:rRNA from 1 species